rnacentral:rRNA from 1 species
CCCUUAGACGUUCUGGGCCGCACGCGCGCUACACUGACAAAGGCAACGAGCUACUCUUCACCGAAAGGUGUGGGUAAUCUUUUGAAACUUUGUCGUGCUGGGGAUAGAUCCUUGCAAUUUUUGAUCUUAAGCGAGGAAUUCCUAGUAAGCGCAAGUCAUCAACUUGCGUUGAUUACGUCCCUGCCCUUUGUACACACCGCCCGUCGCUACUACCGAUUGAAUGGUUUGGUGAGGCCUUCGGAUCCGCGACUCGUUUGUGGAGAAGUUGGACAAACUCAGUCAUUUAGAGGAAGUAAAAGUCGUAACA